rnacentral:rRNA from 1 species
UACGUAGGGCGCAAGCGUUGUCCGGAAUCAUUGGGCGUAAAGAGCUCGUAGGCGGCCUGUUGCGUCCGCUGUGAAAUCCCGGGGCUUAACCCCGGGCGUGCAGUGGAUACGGGCUGGCUGGAGGCAGGCAGGGGAGAACGGAAUUCCCGGUGUAGCGGUGAAAUGCGCAGAUAUCGGGAGGAACACCGGUGGCGAAGGCGGUUCUCUGGGCCGAUACUGACGCUGAGGAGCGAAAGCGUGGGGAGCGAACAGG